ACACGAGGAAGGAGGUGGUUCGAAGAAUGGAUAGUUCUAGGACACGUGAGGUGGCUGUCCGCUAGCGCCACCGCUGCAGGUGGUAUCCGCCCGCGCGAGCGCUGAGCGAAUACCAGGCAGUCACCCGGCCCCCGAGCCCCCGGUCCUGUCCGACCGGGACCCGUGCAGGCACCCGCCGCACCGGUACGGCUCGGGGGCCGUUCCCU
rnacentral:sRNA from 17 species